ACCAAUGACUCUACUAAGAGCCCUGAUCAUACCAAUACCAAUGACCCUACUAAGAGCCCUGAUCAUACCCAUAGCACUGACCCUACCAAGGUACCUCACCAGACCAAUACCACUGACCCUACAAAUAACCCUAACCCCACCGUGACCUCUGACCCAACCAAUGGAGGAAGAAGGAACGGUGGAGGAACAUCUGACCCUUCCAGUAGUGGAGGGAACCGUGAUGAUCGAGACUGGGUGCCCGGAUGGGGCAUUGCCCUGCUGGUGUUAGCUGCAGCCAUCCUGUUGCUUCUCAUCAUCAUUUUCAUCCUUUUGUGUGUUCACUAUUGCCGUAAGCGCCCAUCAGAGGACCCCAUGGAGAAGAACCCUAUGGAGAAGAACCCUGACCCAUACUAUGAGCAGAACAAGAUGCCUCCUCAGGAAACUGUGCCUGUACUCUAUCCAUCAUUACCGACAGCAGCACCCUCAAAUCCAAUGCAGGCACAGAUGAUUGUCGAUGACAAACCCAAAAAGAAUCGGACAGGAUUCUAUGCUGUGAAUCCUUGACAUGAAGUCAAAUGAGUGUGUUUUGCGGCAUCAGGCCCACAAAAGAUGACGAAGAGAAUAGGAGGCCUUUGUCUAAACCGUUGAUGGAUGCAUCACCUGAAUUUGAUUAGUAUGAAUGCUAUUCAUUAAAGCAUUACCCAUUAUUUUUGUAACACUAUUUAUAUCAACAACUUUAUUUAUAGAGAAUAAACACUACCAUUCAAAAGUUUGGUGUAACUUAGAAAUUUCCAUAUUUUUUU